UAAUACUUGCAGAAUAUUCAGAUGAAUUUCACUCAAAUUACCUGCAGAAUAUUCAGAUGAAUUUCACUCAAAUUACCAACAAUACCUCUGCACUUCUUAAAAGAAAAAGAAAAGAUUUAGACUUUAGAUUAAUUAGACCUUUGUUUUACCAGUAAAGCGACUCAAGAUGACCAUCAACUUAAUUCUUGAGGUUGGAAGAAGAUCAUGUCUAAAUCCAGUUCUUCCAUGAAAUGUAAACGUCUCACUGAUGUCAUUUGCUUGCUUUAAUUUGCUUUCUUGAUGAUUUGACAAAACCAACUAGUUCACUUUGAGUUAAUUUACUCAAGACAAAUUUCCAGAUGUAUCUAGUUCCCUUUGAGUUACUAUUACCUACCAUCAGAAUCUUGACAGCAUCUUAACAAAGCUGUUUUGGUGUAGAAUUUGUU
rnacentral:lncRNA from 1 species